GCCUGGGUAGCUCAGUGGUAGAGCAGACGACUGAAAAUCGUCGUGUCGGUGGUUCGACUCCGCCCCCGGGCA
rfam:Sphingomonadales bacterium BRH_c42 BRHa_1002881, whole genome shotgun sequence.